UACGGGGGGGGCAAGCGUUGUUCGGAAUUACUGGGCGUAAAGGGCUCGUAGGCGGCCAACUAAGUCAGACGUGAAAUCCCUCGGCUUAACCGGGGAACUGCAUCUGAUACUGGAUGGCUUGAGUUCGGGAGAGGGAUGCGGAAUUCCAGGUGUAGCGGUGAAAUGCGUAGAUAUCAGGAGGAACACCAGUGGCGAAGGCGGCUUUCUGGACGGUAACUGACGCUGAGACGCGAAAGCGUGGGGAGCAAACAGG
rnacentral:rRNA from 1 species